rnacentral:rRNA from 2 species
GCUGUCGUCAGCUCGUGUUGUGAAAUGUUGGGUUAAGUCCCGCAACGAGCGCAACCCUUAUCCUUUGUUGCCAGCGGUUAGGCCGGGAACUCAAAGGAGACUGCCAGUGAUAAACUGGAGGAAGGUGGGGAUGACGUCAAGUCAUCAUGGCCCUUACGACCAGGGCUACACACGUGCUACAAUGGCGCAUACAAAGAGAAGCGACCUCGCGAGAGCAAGCGGACCUCAUAAAGUGCGUCGUAGUCCGGAUUGGAGUCUGCAACUCGACUCCAUGAAGUCGGAAUCGCUAGUAAUCGUGGAUCAGAAUGCCACGGUGAAUACGUUCCCGGGCCUUGUACACACCGCCCGUCACACCAUGGGAGUGGGUUGCAAAAGAAGUAGGUAGCUUAACCUUCGGGAGGGCGCUUACCACUUUGUGAUUCAUGACUGGGGUGAAGUCGUAACAAGGUAACCGUAGGGGAACCUGCGGUUGGAUCACCUCCUUACCUUAAAGAA